rnacentral:rRNA from 1 species
GGUGUCUUCGGACAUAGUGGCGCACGGGUGCGUAACACGUAUGCAACCUACCUUACAUUGGGGGAUAGCCUUUCGAAAGGGAGAUUAAUACCGCAUAAGACAGUAACUGGGCAUCCAGUAGCUGUUAAAGAUUUAUCGAUGUAAGAUGGGCAUGCGUCCAAUUAGUUAGUUGGCGAGGUAAUGGCUCACCAAGACUUUGAUUGGUAGGGGAACUGAGAGGUCAAUCCCCCACACUGGCACUGAGAUACGGGCCAGACUCCUACGGGAGGCAGCAGUAGGGAAUAUUGGGCAAUGGACGCAAGUCUGACCCAGCCAUGCCGCGUGCAGGAUGAAGGCGUUAUGCGUUGUAAACUGCUUUUAUACAGGAAGAAACGACUCUUGCGAGAGGCAUUGACGGUACUGUAUGAAUAAGCACCGGCUAACUCCGUGCCAGCAGCCGCGGUAAUACGGAGGGUGCAAGCGUUGUCCGGAUUUAUUGGGU